rnacentral:rRNA from 1 species
UACGUAGGCAGCGAGCGUUGUUCGGAGUUACUGGGCGUAAAGGGUGCGUAGGCGGUUUUCCAAGUUUGGUGUGAAAUCUCCCGGCUUAACUGGGAGGGUGCGUCGAAAACUAGGAGACUUGAGUACCGGAGAGGUAAGCGGAAUUCCUGGUGUAGCGGUGAAAUGCGUAGAGAUCAGGAGGAACACCUGUGGUGUAGACAGCUUACUGGACGGUCACUGACGCUGAGGCACGAAAGCGUGGGGAGCGAACAGG